rnacentral:rRNA from 1 species
AACAUCGCCUCCUGCAAAAAUCAAUGUAUAGGAGGUCCUACCUGCCCAGUGACAACUUGUUAAACGGCCGCGGUAUUUUGACCGUGCUAAGGUAGCGCAAUCACUUGUCUUUUAAAUGAAGACCUGUAUGAAUGGUGGAACGAGGGCUUAACUGUCUCCCUUCUCCCGUCAAUGAAAUUGAUCUGCCCGUGCAGAAGCGGACAUACAAAUACAAGACGAGAAGACCCUUUGGAGCUUGUUGGGGCGACCGCGGGGGAAAACAAAGCCCCCACGUAAAACCGAGAGAGACAUCUCUAAGCCACAGAAUAUCUGACCAAAAGAUCCGGCCUACAGGCCGAUCAACGAACCAAGUUACCCUAGGGAUAACAGCGCAAUCUUCUCCAAGAGUUCAUAUCGACGAGAAGGUUUACGACCUCGAUGUUGGAUCAGGACAUCCUAAUGGUGCAGCCGCUAUUAAGGGUUCGUUUGUUCAACGAUUAAAGUCCUACGUGAUCU